rnacentral:lncRNA from 1 species
UCUAGCAUUUCAGGGAUUUCUGGGAAGACUUAUUUAAUCUACCUUGUCAUGUGCUGACAUUUAAUAAACACCUCACUCCUUUCCAGGUAUUUUUAACAGUGAGCUGCAGAAGAGUAAAUCCCUGGCCAGUUAACAGUAUUGAAAUGACCGAACAGCUUCUCUCUUGAAAAACAAGACUAAUGGAUGGUGUGAGAAGCUUACUCCUCCUGAAUCCCAGCCAGGACCAACUAGACAUUUGGUUGAAGAUGGACGGUGUGUUAAAGAAGUGGAUGGCAUAUAGAAGCAUGGAUUCUGGACAUGGCUGUGCCACUAAGUACAGAAGUAACAUGAGUGAGAAUAUAGAUCAGCACCCCCUUUCUAAAGAAGAGGAAACACACUUCACAUAACUUAUUCUCUUCAAUCUGAUAGUGACAAAGCUCUGCCUAAAUCUGUAUUCUUUGGAGUCUAGUAUAACUUUUUUCCCCACUGCAUCAAAGCAGGAAGUCUUUCCUUAUGUUUAAAUAAUUCUCUUUUGUGAUUUAGAUCCUUCCUUCUUGUUCUGGCCUCGGCAAGGACCAGACCAGGAGAGCAGCUGGUCACCAUUUUUUAUAUGUGAACAUUAUAAAUAAAACGUUUUCCAAACCUGCCCUAAGAGUUAGGGUUUCUUUUAGAGUCUUGAGCCCCAGGGACUCAUUUUAGCCCAUUCAAACUACAAAAUACUUUGGUUCUGAAGAUCUUCUUCUGAAAGACCCCAAUAAAGAUUUCUCCUCACAGUCCAUUCAUCAAUUAGUCUCCUCGUAUGGCUAAGGGGAGAUGUGCAAAGUCAGCUGAAUUUGGCACUCAUUAUUCCUAGAGGAACGUAUAUUUCAAACUUAAUACUUAGAUUCCAAACUCUUUUCUCUGUAGGAGUUUUAAUGCUUAAGUAAAAUAACAUUCUUAACUCCAAGUAUAGAGUUCUUAAUAGGAACAUAUAUCUUCUCCGCCCCCCCCCCCAUUUUUGGAAAUUUAAAGUUCAUUAAGUUGCUAACUUUUGAAAACUUCCAUCCUCCCACUUCACUGUCUGUCAGCCUAAAGGCUCCCUUCCUUCUUGUCACCAUCUCUCUCCCUGUAAGGAUAGAUUCUGUUCCUCUUGUGUUUCAUGUCUCACGUUUCUCAACAUUAUUGCCCUUUCUCUGCCUAUCUUUGAAGGCUUGUGAGUGUGCAUGCAUAUCCUCUACAUUUGCAUGCACAAUGCAGAUAGAAGAACAAAAUCUCCUGUCUUCUGAAAAAAAUUCUAACUCUCCUCAGGUACUGUAGGUGUCUCAUUUCAUAUUCUUGCUUGAAAAUAUGAGGAGCCCUGAAUCAUGAUCUCGCAUUAUGCCUCAGAAUAGACCUUCUUAAAAGUACAGUUCCUUCCCCCAGAAGAAAGGAGAGAGCUACUUAAAACAAGCAAUCAAUCCAUUUAGAAUUCAUCACCAUCUAAACAACAUUUCUUAGGAUGAUGAAUUGAAAGAAAAGAGGAAAAGAAUAUUUUAAAAAUGGAUUUAAAAGAUUUUGGAUCCAUCAGCAUUCACUGAGUCCAAACAUAGAAAUUCAAUUCAAUUUAUUAUGAAGAGAAAAGAUUAAUCACUUACAGAAAUCUUGAGAAAUUGGUGUGCUGCUUUCAGAGUUGUUAAAUAAGAAUCAUUUUUAAUUACCGCUAUCCACUCAGUAUAAAACUUUGCUACAUGAUUUGAUUAUCUUGCUGCAGCAUGAAUUGUCUUUAAUUCCUCUCUGUUUCAAUCCUCAAAUCAAAUCCAUUGCUCCCCAUGACAAUUUUUCAGAGGGUUUAGAUUUAUUCCUCUUCUUUUGAAAAGUCGGAACCUCACAGGAAGUGUCUACUUCACAUGAAUUCAUACUAUUCCAGUGAUCUGUUACCUGACUAUUGCUUUCAUCUUCUCUUUACCUUUUUUUAAUGUGUGUGUGUGUGUGUGUGUGUACACAAAAGUAAGGAUCUUUUCUUUAAGUUUUAUUUAGGGAAUGCCAUUUCCAUGUGUAGUCUAUCUACUACAAUUUCUAGUUAUUUCUUAAGUCAAAUCUAAACUCAGGCUUACCACUCCAGAACUAUAUUUCUAAUGCUGGUUUUGGUGGAAAUUUUUUUUUUUGCCACUUAACAUUUGUUUUUCCUGGUUAUAUUAUUUCAGUUUUGCUUUAUUGCAUAUAAUCUACUGGGACCAUCAACCAGGGAGCCAUGCUCUGCUAUGGCCUAAGCAAAAGUCCAUGAUCCAAACCUUUUACCCACAGUUUGACAUGAGCAGAGUGACCAAAAUCCGCAAAAUGGCAGGAACUCAUUUAUUUCCAAGACUGUACAUUUACCAUACCAGCUCCCUGGAUCCCCAGUGUUGCCUCAGCUUUAAUCCUUGCUGAGUCUGUUUAUUCAGCCUUCUUCACAAUGCUGGGAGCCACUCAAUAUCUUUCAAGUCAAUUUUGUUUUUCUGUUUAAAUUAGAUUUAGGCUAUGUUGAUUAUAUUAGAAUUGUUUUUUGUUGAUUACAAACCAGAAACUUCCAGUUGAGACAUAAUGGAAUAUUUCUCAAAUAUCCUCAAGUCCAGUUUUCCCACUUCUGGUCAAGAUGAGGACAGGUUUCUGGUGGUGAACAAUAAAAUUGCUCUGUGGUCUUCCAUUUUUUCCCCCUUUUUUUGUUGCUAAAUUGUACCCUUUUUAUCCUUUCUGAUAUUUCUUCAAAUCUGACUUUUUCAUGACAAUGAAUUCCAUUUUAUCAUCCACAUUAACAUCCUUCCAGAAUUUGCUUAGCCCUCCUUUGCUGUCUGUAAAAUCCCAAAAGUAGCUCUUCCUUCACAGAAAGGAUCUCUCAACUUUUAUGUAAGGAUAAGCUGCCAAAUGUUAAACAAACAAAAAUUGAGCUAGAGUGUCUCCAUUCCUGUGUAUUUCAAUAAAGUAAACCAAAGACAACUUAGUGGUUAGACCAGUCCAGAAGCACUAUUAACAAAUGUAAAUUAUCCAUAGGAAAACUGUUUUCAGAGGCUCUUCCCUUCAAAGAGCAGAAGAUAAAUUACAACAGGGGGAGGGCCAAAACUAGGGAGAUGGUUCAUGCACAAAAUUUAUGUUUGACCCAUACUAGCAGAAUAGGCUAGCAAAUGAUCCUGAAAUCUCAGUGGCUUAAUACAGCAAAAGCUGAUUUCUUACUCAUGCUCCACAUCUAACAUGGAUUACCAGGAAUUUCUGCAUAUCAUAGCUUCUCAAGACCAAGUAGGUGGAGGCAUCCUGUUGAUGAAUAUAGUUCUUUCUUUUGCUUGUAUUUCCUUGCAAAGCAAAAAACCCCAGAUAUGCUAUCUUUAGUUGAGCAGGAAAAUAAAAGCCAUCCAUGUGCCUGGAAAACACAUAACUAUUUGGCAAAC